rnacentral:lncRNA from 1 species
CCUAUACUUGUUAUGUUGAAUUGAGUUCUGUUUUCAAAUAUACUUUGCAGGCUGAUAAAGCAGAUGACAUUCUCAUCUUGUUAUUGUUCAUUAACCUAAGGAUGUGAAACUGUGCUGCAUAUCUGGUCUCUCUUCUCUUCCCAGACAUCGCCCCCAUUCUUGUAUAAAUAGUGCAAGUUCAUCCAUCACUGGUAAUCAGAAGACUGUCAGGAUCUACUGACUGCAAAAUUUAUCAAACAUUCCCUGAAGUGUGGUAGAAGGCAGGAAGAAUGACACUUGCUAAUUUGAAUUUCAGAACACACCUAAACCGCAUUCUGAUCUCCAGAGAUCUGUGCCGAAACCUCUUAGGCAAUUAAAAUAACCUUGCCAUGAUCAAGAGGCAUCAGAGGAAUUGCACUCAAGAUUUUUAAGUCCUUAAGAGGUAAGUAUCUGCUCUAUGUUUUCUAUUUUUGAUCCAGUAAUGUAUAAUUUCAUUGGAGUA